GGACCGGGGGAAUCCGACUGUUUAAUUAAAACAAAGCUUUGCGAUGGCCGUCAGCCGGUGUUGACGCCAAUGUGAUUUCUUGCCCAUGUGCUACUGAAUGUCACAGUGAAGAAAUUCAACCAAGCGCGGGUAAACGGCGGGAGUAAC
rnacentral:ncRNA from 1 species